rnacentral:rRNA from 1 species
AUUGAACGCUGGCGGCAGGCCUAACACAUGCAAGUCGAGCGGUAGCACAGAGAGCUUGCUCUCGGGUGACGAGCGGCGGACGGGUGAGUAAUGUCUGGGAAACUGCCUGAUGGAGGGGGAUAACUACUGGAAACGGUAGCUAAUACCGCAUAACGUCGCAAGACCAAAGUGGGGGACCUUCGGGCCUCAUGCCAUCAGAUGUGCCCAGAUGGGAUUAGCUAGUAGGUGGGGUAACGGCUCACCUAGGCGACGAUCCCUAGCUGGUCUGAGAGGAUGACCAGCCACACUGGAACUGAGACACGGUCCAGACUCCUACGGGAGGCAGCAGUGGGGAAUAUUGCACAAUGGGCGCAAGCCUGAUGCAGCCAUGCCGCGUGUGUGAAGAAGGCCUUCGGGUUGUAAAGCACUUUCAGCGGGGAGGAAGGCGUUAAGGUUAAUAACCUUGGCGAUUGACGUUACCCGCAGAAGAAGCACCGGCUAACUCCGUGCCAGCAGCCGCGGUAAUACGGAGGGUGCAAGCGUUAAUCGGAAUUACUGGGCGUAAAGCGCACGCAGGCGGUCUGUCAAGUCGGAUGUGAAAUCCCCGGGCUCAACCUGGGAACUGCAUUCGAAACUGGCAGGCUAGAGUCUUGUAGAGGGGGGUAGAAUUCCAGGUGUAGCGGUGAAAUGCGUAGAGGUCUGGAGGAAUACCGGUGGCGAAGGCGGCCCCCUGGACAAAGACUGACGCUCAGGUGCGAAAGCGUGGGGAGCAAACAGGAUUAGAUACCCUGGUAGUCCACGCCGUAAACGAUGUCGAUUUGGAGGUUGUGCCCUUGAGGCGUGGCUUCCGGAGCUAACGCGUUAAAUCGACCGCCUGGGGAGUACGGCCGCAAGGUUAAAACUCAAAUGAAUUGACGGGGGCCCGCACAAGCGGUGGAGCAUGUGGUUUAAUUCGAUGCAACGCGAAGAACCUUACCUGGUCUUGACAUCCACAGAACUUUCCAGAGAUGGAUUGGUGCCUUCGGGAACUGUGAGACAGGUGCUGCAUGGCUGUCGUCAGCUCGUGUUGUGAAAUGUUGGGUUAAGUCCCGCAACGAGCGCAACCCUUAUCCUUUGUUGCCAGCGGUUAGGCCGGGAACUCAAAGGAGACUGCCAGUGAUAAACUGGAGGAAGGUGGGGAUGACGUCAAGUCAUCAUGGCCCUUACGACCAGGGCUACACACGUGCUACAAUGGCAUAUACAAAGAGAAGCGACCUCGCGAGAGCAAGCGGACCUCAUAAAGUAUGUCGUAGUCCGGAUUGGAGUCUGCAACUCGACUCCAUGAAGUCGGAAUCGCUAGUAAUCGUAGAUCAGAAUGCUACGGUGAAUACGUUCCCGGGCCU